AGAUCGGAUAUUGCCUGAGGCUUCUACCGUCUUAUGAAGUUGCUGUGACAAAGUGAAUUUUUCUUCCUUUGCUAUAUUUGUUUUUUGGUUUCGGUUGC
rnacentral:snoRNA from 1 species